UGGAUUUGACGGGAUGAGUAUCACCGCAGGUUGCAUGUCGAGGAUGACCAAUGGUUCUCGUAAAACACCCAUUAUGGACACAAAAAUAAUUGACAACAAUUAUUCAUACCGCUUAGCAGCAUAAACUGCUGAGCCGAUCCGCUGAAAGCGUGCCUGUCAGCGUCAGUUUGGAUCGCCAUAACAGAUAGGAUAGCGUAGCAGGGUUUUCUGUCUCUGUUGCGUGAAACUUUACAGAAUAGUUUGAAGUCGCUUGGUUGCUAGGCUCGGCUUCAGGCGAAUGUUAAUUAGCAACUAAACAUGUAGAUAUUUGCAGGUUUGCCGUUUCGGACCGGGGUUCGACUCCCCGCAUCUCCA
rnacentral:tmRNA from 16 species